UUAUCCAAUCAUUUGUUUAUGUACAACUCCGGGUCUACAGCAUGGUCACCAAGUGAGUUUUCUCAGGAAUCUUGAGUCUCCCUAGAAAACAGAAGACGCAGGUGAAGUAUCUGUCACUUUGCUUUGCUGCUAUGGAAACAAUAAUGGAUUCCUCAAAUGCCUCCCAAGGAACAACUGACUGCACCUUCCAUUGAAGAGGACCCCAAAGUGGUCUGAAACACCAGGAUAAGAAGUUACAUCCCAAGAAAACCUCACCAUACUGCUGCCUGCCACUUUCUGCCAUGAGUAGAAGCAGCCUGAGGCCCGCAGCAUAUGCAGCUGUCCCAAAAUCAUAAGCAAAUAAACCUCUGUUCUUUAUAAAUUA